rnacentral:rRNA from 1 species
GUGCCAGCCGCCGCGGUAAUACGUAGGGUGCGAGCGUUAAUCGGAAUUACUGGGCGUAAAGGGUGCGCAGGCGGUUUUUUAAGCCAGAUGUGAAAUCCCCGGGCUCAACCUGGGAACUGCGUUUGGAACUGAAAGACUAGAGUGUGUCAGAGGGAGGUGGAAUUCCACGUGUAGCAGUGAAAUGCGUAGAUAUGUGGAGGAACACCAAUGGCGAAGGCAGCCUCCUGGGAUAACACUGACGCUCAUGCACGAAAGCGUGGGGAGCAAACAGGAUUAGAAACCCCGGUAGUCC